CAUUAGGGCUUGCCCGCGAAGGCGUAGUGUCAGUUGAUGCAUAGGUGACUGACCCACCGCCAUCGCGGGCAAGCCCGCUCC
rnacentral:misc_RNA from 1 species